rnacentral:lncRNA from 1 species
GAUGAAAUUAUAAUUUUAGUCUGAUAAUUAUAUCUUUUAAUAUAUUUACCAUUCAAUUAAUUCAACAAAAGUUUCAAUGGUUAAGACAUGUAAUAAAUGUCCAAAAUAUGUCAGGUUUUAAGAAACACUUCAGAGUCUUGUUAGUCAGAAAUAUAUGUUAACAGAACAAACUGAAUUUUAUCAUACAUAUGAUUAUAUAAAUAACUAAAUAUAGCUAUAAACAUCUCCAAAUACAAGAAGCCAAGAUAUUUUAAUCUAGAAUCUAAUGGCAUACACACAGGCAAGAGAGAGACAGAGACAGAGACAGAGAGAGAGAGAGAGAGAGAGAGAGAGAGAGAGAAAGAGAGAGAGAGAGAGAGGUGGAGGUUUGGGGAGUGAUGGCUACAGAUCAAAAGAAACCUUCAAAAUAUUUGAGAAUUAAAAAAAAAAAAAAAAAAAAAAAGCAGGGAGAAGUUUCCAGGGAGUUUGAGGUUUCUGAAAAGUUAAAAGCAAUUCUAGAAGACACAAGUUGAAAAAAAGACUUAUAUCCAGAGGAGACAGAAUUAAUAGUACACAAUAUACUUUAAUAUUUAGUGUAUGAGUGUCAAUGAAUCACUCCAAUAUCUGUUUUCUCAAAUGAAGACAGUUGGGAACUACUUAUUCAACACACUAAGAUUGCUCUUUUUAAAACUUACCGCAAAUGAUACCAAGGAUUUACUCUUUGCUGUUUAAAUAG